UCUGAGAAGAGGUCGAUGGCGCCGGAGUUUGCGGCCUCCGCGCAGCAAUGGGUCUGCCUGCCGCGGAGAUGGGUGUGUCACCGGCUUCGCUGGGCUCAGGCUCUUACGUCAUAAAACAAGAAGGUAGCUGAAUCCAGGCCAGAGAUCAAGAAGAUUUUAACUAACACUUGCUCAAGAUUCGUUCCCUAAAGUUGAGGAAACUGAGGCUUGAAGAAGUUGCACAAUUUGGCUGAAAAUCCAGUAAAUAAUAGAGUGAAGAUUGGAUCUGAGACCUUCUGAUUCCAAGAUGGAAGCUAUGAACUGGCUUUUGGAAAUGGGCAGUCAAUGUCGAACACUAUGUUCGUCUGUCUCUAAGGAAAAUGUCAGUGGUCUCCUGCUUAAGAAAACUAGGUAAGAAAUCAAUGGUGUAUCUCACAAAAGGAAAGACUGGGAUUGGAGCCUUCAUUGACAGGAUUAGAUCUCACUUCGUCCCAUUCCCUCUGGAGCCAAAUGCCAACUCCACUGACAACAAGUUUCUGAGGUUUACAAGGUCUGAGAAGGAACCAAAGGGGUAAUGACCUCCUGGAAGAAGAGUGGAGAUUCCAGGGGAAGAAGACAUGGACAUAAGUCUGUGGGCCUGGAGAAUGGUUGUAAGAAGAGGAGGGACUGAGAAGAGAAGGACCAAUGAUUUAGAACACCCCUUCCCAAACCCUCAAUCCUUUGAGCCGCUUCUUCUUGUUGAUUCUGAGAAUUUCAAAGUUUGUGAGGUUCCUAGGAGCCACUAUGGAAGGGAGACAUGUUUACCUAGUGCCAUUCUUUGGGGUUGUAGAAUUUCUUUGCUCAGGUUUCCUUGAAAAUCUUCAGGAAAAUAAAAACGUUAAAGAGAAAUAUAGGAAUGCCUCCAAGGCAAAUGACCAUCUACAAACUAUAGGAAUGCCUCUAGGACAAUGACCAUCCAAGGAAUGCCUCCUGGACAAACACCCAUUUAGGUAACACAAACAGAACAUACUUACAGUAUCUUAAAUCUGGGAGUAACUACCAAAUGUAAGAUAAAGUGUGUAGAGCAAGAUACUGGUUCUCAUUUUCUUUUUUUUUUUUUACAAAAAACAUAUUUAUACAGAUAUUCCUGGCCGUAUUGUUCGCAUUAGCGAAAAAAAAAGACAUGGGGAAAAACCAAAUA